UAACCUUUUCAAACGGAUUACGGUGAUUCGUCUCCUCUUCUACAAUCCUUCUCCAGUGUCCCGUGUUCGGUACCCUGUUUAUGCUUAAUGAUUUCUUUGUUUUUGACAUUUUUGCCACGUUAAACCAUUUGGUGUGGUUUCCUCAACUUAAUUGGUCUCCUACUCGGAUUCACCACCAUAACUUGUCUUACGAGGAAGAUCUUACUAUUUCUCUGCCCAUCAAAACAUGUACCACCCAUUCUAGUCGUUUACUACGAGUGACUUAGUAAAUACUUGGGUUGUUAUAGAGUUUAUCCAUAUCAAACUUCUUUCUUUCGAAUAUUCCCUAGCCCGAAUUUUAGAGUACCUGGCCCAUAAACUGUUCUCGACAUUUUCCUCUCGAAACAUGAUGAGACGUUUUUCUUGUCUCCUUUUGAACUGGCUAAUUUUUCACACGCUAUGGGACGAAAGUAUGUAGUGUAACCCAAUA